AGACCACCUGCCCUCAAAAGAUUUGUUUUCUAGAGAAACAAAGCAAAAUCUAGGUGCUGCAAGAAAAGUCACAGCCUUGGGGUUUCAGUGAAGAGACAGCCCAAAUGCUCUUGAAGUAGUCAGAAAAGUCUACAGGUGUGACUCCCUUAUGCCGCUCUCUCCUGCCAUUUGGGCAACAGCCAACUUCCGAGGCCAACCUUGUUUCUGGAGAAGCAUUCUUCCCACAUGGGAAAGGCAAGGAUGGUGCUGAGCCUGUCUGCCUCUGUGUUCCCUGGACAACUCCAUUCCAGUGCAAGAUUCUCAUGGUUGAAUUCAUUGUCUCCCAAUUAUGAGCACCAUCUGCAAGAGUCCACUUGGAAAAUACUCAAGAGUGGGCUUCUAUGACUUCUGCCUUGCCCUGGAGGUCCAAUACAGG
rnacentral:lncRNA from 1 species